rnacentral:rRNA from 1 species
AUCAUUAACGAGUUAGGGUCCCUCGCGGCCCGACCUCCCAACCCUUUGUCUACCUGACCACUGUUGCUUCGGCGAGCCCGUCUGUAAUGGACCGCCGGGGGGUACCUUGAUCGGCCCUCUGGUCCGCGCUCGUCGAUAGCCAAACUUUUAAAAUCUUAACCAAACGUGUCUCAAUCUAAGUAUUAUUUGUUAAAUAAAAGCAAAACUUUCAACAACGGAUCUCUUGGUUCUGGCAUCGAUGAAGAACGCAGCGAAAUGCGAUAAGUAAUGCGAAUUGCAGAAUUUCAGUGAGUCAUCGAAUCUUUGAACGCACAUUGCGCCCUUUGGUAUUCCGAAGGGCAUGCCUGUUCGAGCGUCAUUAUCACCCCUCAAGCCCCCGGCUUGGUGUUGGACGGUUUGGUGGAGGCCCCCUCGCGGGGCCACCGCCCCUCCCAAAGACAAUGACGGCGGCCUCGUUGGACCCCCGUACACUGAGUUCUUCACGGGACACGUAUCGGAGACCUUCUUAUACGGGACACGGUCUGCCUCCCCUCAGGGAGAAUCUUUCUAAGGUGACCUCGG